GUUAGUAAUGUUCAACCCAGGGGAAUAAGCAUAGCUACUUGAAAUAUUUCUCAAAUUUCACUCGUGAUGAGAACUAACGCAGAAAACGUUACAGAUCAUACUGGACUUGGAAGGAUCAAGUGUUAACAGUUUCAUGGCUAAAUGAUGAAACAUUAAUGAGGAGACUGGAUUCUUCAAGGUGAUUACUGUAAAAGUAAAAUCAUGGCCCUUGGGGAAAGAUACCAGUGACAUGCCCAUGGUCUAAUAGCUGCCGGGUUUCACUGCCACACGUCUCCUCCAGCACCUAUGAGAAAGAAGACAUGGGUUCCUCAGAAGAAGCACAGACAAGGCUGCCUCCUGCAACCCCCAGCUGCUCAGCUCCAUUAAGUUGAAUCCGUAAUGAAUCUAGAAAUUUUUCAAGCAUGCAUGACAUUCCAUUGAACAACUGCGUCAACAAAACCUCCAGAGCUGAAGAUAUUAAAGCAUUUGAAGACAGCCAAAAGCUUGGACCUCUGUCAGAUGCUUUGGAAGUGCCAAACAGGUCAAAGAGCUGAAAAUUGAAAGCAGUACAAACUCAGCCAUCUUUUCAGGUUUCAAAACAGCCAAGCAAACAGCUGAGAUGAAGAACAAGGAAAACAUGAGUGCAAAGAGGACAACUAGCAUGGUCAAAUCUGAAUUUCACUAAAUGUGAAAUACAGACUAGCACUUCA